CACCGCCGCGGUAAUACGUAGGUCCCGAGCGUUGUCCGGAUUUAUUGGGCGUAAAGCGAGCGCAGGCGGUUUGAUAAGUCUGAAGUUAAAGGCUGUGGCUCAACCAUAGUUCGCUUUGGAAACUGUCAAACUUGAGUGCAGAAGGGGAGAGUGGAAUUCCAUGUGUAGCGGUGAAAUGCGUAGAUAUAUGGAGGAACACCGGUGGCGAAAGCGGCUCUCUGGUCUGUAACUGACGCUGAGGCUCGAAAGCGUGGGGAGCGAACAGGAUUAGAUACCCCUGUAGUCCCUGUCUCUUAUACAC
rnacentral:rRNA from 1 species